GCAGCCACGCCGCGUGAGGGAAGACGGUUUUCGGAUUGUAAACCUCUGUUCUAAGUGACGAACAAAUGACGGUAGCUUAGGAGAAAGCCCCGGCUAACUACGUGCCAGCAGCCGCGGUAAUACGUAGGGGGCAAGCGUUGUCCGGAAUUACUGGGUGUAAAGGGAGCGCAGGCGGAGAAGCAAGUCAGUGGUGAAAACGAUGGGCUUAACUCAUCGACUGCCAUUGAAACUGUUUCCCUUGAGUGAAGUAGAGGCAGGCGGAAUUCCGAGUGUAGCGGUGAAAUGCGUAGAUAUUCGGAGGAACACCAGUGGCGAAGGCGGCCUGCUGGGCUUUAACUGACGCUGAGGCUCGAAAGUGUGGGGAGCAAACAAAAGUAGAUAACCUGGUAGUCCACACUGUAAACGAUCUUCUAAAGGUGUGGGGGGUCUGACCCCUUCCGUGCCGGAGUUAACGCAAUAAGCAAUCCACCUGGGGAGUACGGCCGCAAGGUUGAAACUCAAAGGAAAUUGACGGGGGCCCGCACAAGCAGUGGAUUAUGUGGUUUAAUUCGACGCAACGCGAAGAACCUUACCAGGUCUUGACAUCCAACGAAUCCUUAAGAGAUUAGGGAGUGCCUUUCGGGGAACGUUGAGACAGGUGGUGCAUGGUUGUCGUCAGCUCGUGUCGUGAGAUGUUGGGUUAAGUCCCGCAACGAGCGCAACCCCUGCCAUUAGUUGCUACGCAAGAGCACUCUAAUGGGACCGCUACCGACAAGGUGGAGGAAGGUGGGGACGACGUCAAAUCAUCAUGCCCCUUAUGACCUGGGCUACACACGUAAUACAAUGGCCGUUAACAACGGGAGGCAAAACCGCGAGGUGGAGCAAAACCCUAAAAACGGUCCCAGUUCGGAAAACAGGCUGCAGCCCGCCUGCGUGAAGUUGGAAUUGCUAGUAAUCGCGGAUCAGCAUGCCGCGGUGAAU
rnacentral:rRNA from 1 species